CCUUUAAAACGUAGAUAAUGUUUGCCGUUUUAGACAAUCCUCCUCUUCCUUUUUGACCUUCAAAUACAAAGCUACUAUCUUUCAAUUCCAUUCCCAAUCUUUUCUUCUUCAAAACCCUAAUUCCGAUCUCCAAUAUCCAAUCUGAAAUCAAGUAAUUUCUCUGCUGAUUUCACCAGAUCGGCUUCGCGAUUACUCAGGAAUUAUGUCUUUUGUUAUAAUAUUCAGAAUAACAACUGGGAAAAUUUUGGGGACCAUGGUGGCAACUAUAAUUUUUACAUGGCUGAUCAUGCUAAUUAUGCUAAGUACGAUGCUGUCCCAGCAUCCUUGAAAAGGAGAAAAUAUGCAGCUCCUGCUUGGGAAGAUAGCCAGAUGUACUAUCUUCCAUACACUGUCCAAAACAAUUUCUCAUCAGCCAAUUUCCAAGCUCCUCCUACAAGAUCCAAUGCGGAUACAUCAACAUCUGCUAGCUUGCAGCUUGAUUGGUCUAUAUUUGAAGAUGAUAAGCCAUCCUUCAUGUCAAGGGACGAGAUUGACAGAUAUUCUCCAUCAAGAAAAGAUGGCAUUGAUGUGCGUCACGAAACACACUUGCGGUACUCCUAUUGUGCUUACCUCCAGAACCUUGGAAUGCGGCUUGAACUGCCUCAAACUACCAUUGGGACGGCUAUGGUUCUAUGCCACCGAUUUUUUGUUCGGAGAUCACAUGCCUGCCAUGAUAGAUUUUUGAUUGCUACUGCUGCCCUUUUCCUAGCUGCAAAGUCGGAGGAAUCGCCACGCCCUUUGAACAAUGUUUUGCGGGCAUCUAGUGAAAUCUUACAUAAACAAGAUUUUACUAUGUUGUCCUAUCUUUUUCCUAUUGAUUGGUUUGAACAGUAUCGUGAGCGAUUGCUUGAGGCUGAACAGUUGAUUCUGACUACCCUAAAUUUUGAACUCAAUGUGCAACAUCCAUAUGCACCCCUUACAUCUGUUCUUAACAAAUUAGGUCUAUCAAAGACCAUUUUGGUGAAUCUGGCUUUAAACCUGGUCAGUGAAGGUGAUUGGAAUGAAAAUUACUAGUUUAGUAAACAGCUCAUGUGGGGCACUGGGUGUGUUAAACCUCAAGCAAUAACAUGUCUUGAGGUCUGGAGAUCUAUUGGCUGAGGAAGAUACAUUGGAUAUUCACAAGAUUAGCGUGCUGGCCUAUAUGAUAUUCUUAGCUGGCGGAUUGAUAUGCUGUUCAUGGAAAGUUUUGUUUUUCUUCUGAAGUUGAACUGCUGAUGUCUAAUGGAUUGCUUUAGUCUGAAUAUGUCCCAUGGAAUCUUAUUGGGGCUACCCGAGAUAGCUACAGGAGCCCCAAUCCAGAUUUUCUAUCCAAUGCCUUGUAGUUGCCGAUGACCUUGAGCCGAAUGUGCUCUUGUUGCUCAUUUAGUAAAAGGGUUGGAAGAUCAUGAAAUGAUCUGAAAUAAACCAACAAAAAAAUUCACAGAGUCCAAAAUUCAUAAAUGGACCGAGUCAUUUGUUGUCCUGGAAAAAAAGAAGUCUCAGCUAAAAAGGGUUGAAAGAUCUUAGAAAUGGUUCUGCUCUUUUAAUUAAUGGUUGGAGAUCAUAGAAAUGAUCUGAAAAAACCAACAAAAAAUUUCAAAUAGUCCAAAAUUGAAGCAUGAACUAAGUUGUUUGUUGAAAGGGAAAAAGAAAGAUCAUAGCCAGUCAAAUGGAUUGGGAGAUCAUACAUUGUUUUUUUAGUAAAAUGGGUUGGAUGGUCAUACAAAUUAGAAAUUAUUUGAAAAAACCAACAAAAAUUUUCAAAUAUUCCAAAAUUCAGAUAUGCUCUGGGUCAUUUCUUAUCCUGAAAAAAAAAAAAUGCUAGUCAUUCCUCAGUUGACAAGAUGUUGAUGUCUUUCCUGCUCAGUUCCUAUGCUGAUACUGAAUUUUUGUUAUUAUCCCUUUUUUCUGGUACAUUUAUUUUUUGUUUCUUAAACAAAUAAAGCUUUUCACGUGUUCUAGUAAUUGGUUAGUGAAAGCUGUUAAUGCUAUCUUAUAAUUGAAAUUUCUUUGGUUUGUGAAAGUUGUCCCAAAUUCCCCCAUUCUCCAACCACAUUGAAUUUGUUGGUCAAUCAAAUGGAAUAGUUUGGACAGCUUUCUCUUCCACGAGUGUUUUAAAUUUUGAAAUUAUUUCUUUUAUCCCAGUUUAGACUUUAGUGUAAGAGUGUGAGUGUGUGUGUGUGUGCGUGCGUGCAUAUUUUAUUCUUUAACACCUUCUAAAUGAUGAAUAUUAUUUUUCAAAAUUUGUACUGAUUUUUCAUCUGUUCAAGUGAUUUGUUUGUAGUUUCUUUGUCCAAAGUUAGGUCUGGUUAAGUUUGUAAUGGGAAUGGGUACUUUUCGUUACAGGAAGAAGAAAGUAAUAUAUGGCUAUUUAAAAUUGUCAGACUCUUAAUUCCAUUUUCGAAAAAGUUUCUUUAGUGUAGCAUUCCCAGGGAUCCAAUUGUGAUAUACGAGCAUUGUUCAUGAUUUGGAAUUGGUCUGUUCAUCCUUUGUGUAAACCUAGGUUAUUUCGAAAUGUAGAUGUUGAACCUCCCAAAUUGAAAUCCAUUAUGGAUGUGUGUCGUAUAUUUAGGGGUAGAUGACUCAAAGGCAAAGCCUACUUGGCUAGCGUGUGUAGCUUGCAGUUCUAGAUGCCUAACUCCUUUUACUUUAGUGGUUUUCCUGUGUUUGUAAGACAAACUUGUGCCCUUUAUGUUUCUGUUCAUCUGGUAAUAGUUGAUCUCUUAAUUUUAAAAGUUCCUAAAUUUGCUUAUUGAAUAGAGUACUGGUUCUGUAGUAAAAAAGAAUUCAGCCAUAUCAAGGUCAUCAUUUUUAGGUUCUAGGACAUCAAAUGCAUGCUGCCAUUUUUCUGGAUUUGAUUGUUAUGGAAAAAUGUAUUUAUUUGCUGAAGAGAUGUAAUUUUUUAAAGGUUUAAUUCCAUUUUUACAUGCUUAUUAUUUAGCAAUAUACGUAAAUCAAAUAAAUAAAUAAAAUAUCAAAGAAAUUGAUCUAUUAUGAACCAGUUUGUGAGCUUAACAAACUGAACAUCCAAAUUCUUUUUCAGAGGAACUUAAUUCAAACCCUGUAAUAAUAAGCAAGGUAAAAGCCACCCCACACAUUUUUAAUGAGUGGGGCAGCCUGAGUGGUUCACUGGUGGCUCUGCUUCUUUUAAGCAUAUGUUUAUAUAUUUGACAAAAAGAAAAUAAUUUAUUAAUCUUUGUUAUUGCUCAUCAAUGUUGAGUCUGUUAGCACUAUGAAUUCUGGAUCUCCAUUGACCAUUGCUUUAGAUUUUUCGCAAUUUAUAUGGUAUUGUGUUGAGAACUGUGUAGCACCUUAAAAAAAAUUAAAAA